rnacentral:rRNA from 1 species
AUUGAACGCUGGCGGCAUGCCUUACACAUGCAAGUCGAACGGCAGCACGGGAGCAAUCCUGGUGGCGAGUGGCGAACGGGUGAGUAAUAUAUCGGAACGUGCCCAGUCGUGGGGGAUAACGUAGCGAAAGCUACGCUAAUACCGCAUACGAUCUAUGGAUGAAAGCGGGGGAUCGCAAGACCUCGCGCGAUUGGAGCGGCCGAUAUCAGAUUAGGUAGUUGGUGAGGUAAAGGGCUCACCAAGCCGACGAUCUGUAGCUGGUCUGAGAGGACGACCAGCCACACUGGGACUGAGACACGGCCCAGACU